UUUGGUAUCAGAUGAUCUUGCCUCCCCAUUUUGAUAAAUCCAAGAAAUAUCCUCUACUAUUAGAUGUGUAUGCAGGCCCGUGUAGUCAAAAAGCAGACACUGUCUUCAGACUGAACUGGGCCACUUACCUUGCAAGCACAGAAAACAUUAUAGUAGCUAGCUUUGAUGGCAGAGGAAGUGGUUACCAAGGAGAUAAGAUCAUGCAUGCAAUCAACAGAAGACUGGGAACAUUUGAAGUUGAAGAUCAAAUUGAAGCAGCCAGACAAUUUUCAAAAAUGGGAUUUGUGGACAACAAACGAAUUGCAAUUUGGGGCUGGUCAUAUGGAGGGUACGUAACCUCAAUGGUCCUGGGAUCGGGAAGCGGCGUGUUCAAGUGUGGAAUAGCCGUGGCGCCUGUAUCCCGGUGGGAGUACUAUGACUCAGUGUACACAGAACGUUACAUGGGUCUCCCAACUCCAGAAGACAACCUUGACCAUUACAGGGUAAGAGAUGUGGACCUAUACCUAUUUUAUAACCUAUUUAUAAGUGGUUUAAGAACCUUCUUAAUUGUAUCUAUUCUAGAAAAUAUAUAUUUUUAUUUCC
rnacentral:sRNA from 1 species